AGUGAACGCUGGCGGUAGGCCUAACACAUGCAAGUCGAACGGCAGCACAGUAAGAGCUUGCUCUUACGGGUGGCGAGUGGCGGACGGGUGAGGAAUACAUCGGAAUCUACUUUUUCGUGGGGGAUAACGUAGGGAAACUUACGCUAAUACCGCAUACGACCUACGGGUGAAAGCAGGGGAUCUUCGGACCUUGCGCGAUUGAAUGAGCCGAUGUCGGAUUAGCUAGUUGGCGGGGUAAAGGCCCACCAAGGCGACGAUCCGUAGCUGGUCUGAGAGGAUGACAGGCCCCAGUGGAAGGGGACGAGGACCCCAACCCCGACGGGGGGCGGGGGGGGGAAAUAUUGGACAGUGGGCGCGAGCUUGACCCAGCAAUGCGGGGUGGGGAAAAAAGGCUUUGGGUUUGAAAGGCCCUUUUGUGGGGAAAAAAAAACAGCAGUUUAAUCCCCCGCUGUUCGGACGGGACCAAAAGAAAAAGCCCCGGCUAACUCGGUG
rnacentral:rRNA from 1 species